rnacentral:lncRNA from 1 species
UUUUCAAUUCAAUCUUUAUUCUUUGAUUUCUAAUUUUUUUUCUUGACUGUUUUGUUAAAGUUUUAUUGGUUUUAAAUUUUAUCCUUCAAUCAAAUUUUAUUUUAUUUAUUUUUUCAACUCAUCCCUCAUUCUUUUAGUUUCUUUUUUCUUUUGUAUAAGUUUUUUCUUUUCAAUUUAAACCUUCAAUUUUUUUUUUGAUGCCCUCUAAUUUAUUUUUUAUUUUGGUUUUCACUCUUGUUCUUUUAAUUUUAAUUUUUUGUGUGAUUGAUUUUGUUUUGAUUUCAUCUUUUGGUGUUUCAUUUGUUGGGGAUUGAACUUUAUUAUUUUUUCAUUUGGUAUGUUUCUGAUUUAAUGACAUAGGUAACGAGUUUAAAAAAUUG